ACCUGGGUGGCUCAGUCGGUUGAGCGUCUGACUUCGGCUCAGGUCACAAUCUUGUGGUUCGUGGAUUCAUGUCCCACGUCAGGCU
rnacentral:tRNA from 1 species